GACACAUGUUUCUGUUUCACAAAAUGGAGGAGAGUGGUAAAAGUAAUUUAAUGACAGUGGCUGAAGGUUAGACUAAAUUUUUCCUUGUAAGUUCAUUUUGAAGAGCACAGUAAAAUAUAGCAAUGUGAAGAUAUGAUGGAGAAUUUCCUCAAAUCCCCAGUCUAGUGUUUGAGGUCAGUCAUUUGAAAUUUUAUUUUGGCAGGAAUUGAA
rnacentral:lncRNA from 1 species